rnacentral:rRNA from 1 species
UACGUAGGGUGCAAGCGUUAAUCGGAAUUACUGGGCGUAAAGCGUGCGCAGGCGGUUUUGUAAGUCUGUUGUGAAAUCCCCGGGCUCAACCUGGGAAUGGCAAUGGAGACUGCAAGGCUAGAGUUUGGCAGAGGGGGGUAGAAUUCCACGUGUAGCAGUGAAAUGCGUAGAUAUCAAGAGGAACACCAGUGGCGAAGGCGAGUCCCUGGACAACUUCUGACGCUGAGGCACGAAAGCUAGGGGAGCAAACAGG